UGGUGAUCUGAGAAUAGGGGAACCGGG
rnacentral:piRNA from 1 species